ACACAAGACCGCCCUUACUGGAGGCGGCGGCUGCACACUACCCACCCAGAAGAAGUCCGUCCAUGUCAAAGAUGAGAAGAGCCCGAUGCCCUUGGUUUGACUCUACUAAGAGCCCCUCAGUUGCUGAACCUGCACACAGUCAUCUCAGUAAGUUAAGAUCUUCCUGAGGACAAUGGCGCAAGAUCGUCUUCAGCUGUUCAUAGCAAGAUGAAGAUCCCUUUCCUCCUACUG
rnacentral:lncRNA from 1 species